rnacentral:rRNA from 1 species
UCGGGAAUUUUGCGCAAUGGACGAAAGUCUGACGCAGCAACGCCGCGUGAGGGAUGAAGGCCUUCGGGUUGUAAACCUCUUUUGUCAGGGAAGAUGAUGACGGUACCUGACGAAUAAGCCACGGCUAACUACGUGCCAGCAGCCGCGGUAAUACGUAGGUGGCAAGCGUUGUCCGGAUUUACUGGGCGUAAAGAGCGCGCAGGCGGUCGUCCAAGUCGCGUGUGAAAGCCCCCGGCUCAACUGGGGAGGGUCACGCGAUACUGGUCGACUCGAAGGCAGGAGAGGGUAGUGGAAUUCCCGGUGUAGUGGUGAAAUGCGUAGAUAUCGGGAGGAACACCAGUGGCGAAGGCGACUACCUGGCCUGUUCUUGACGCUGAGGCGCGAAAGCUAGGGGAGCAAACGGG